rnacentral:rRNA from 1 species
GAUGAACGCUGGCGGCGUGCCUAAUACAUGCAAGUCGAGCGAACAGAUAAGGAGCUUGCUCCUUUGACGUUAGCGGCGGACGGGUGAGUAACACGUGGAUAACCUACCUAUAAGACUGGGAUAACUUCGGGAAACCGGAGCUAAUACCGGAUAACAUAUUGAACCGCAUGGUUCAAUAGUGAAAGGCGGCUUUGCUGUCACUUAUAGAUGGAUCCGCGCCGUAUUAGCUAGUUGGUAAGGUAACGGCUUACCAAGGCAACGAUACGUAGCCCACCUGAGAGGGUGACCGGCAAACCUGGAACUGAAACACGGUCAAGACUCCUACGGGAGGCAGCAGUAGGGAAUCUUCCGCAAUGGGCGAAAGCCUGACGGAGCAACGCCGCGUGAGUGAUGAAGGUCUUCGGAUCUUAAAACUCUGUGAUCAGGGAAGAACAAAUGUGUAAGUAACUGUGCACAUCUUGACGGUACCUUAUCAGAAAGCCACGGCUAACUACGUG